GAGUUUGAUCAUGGCUCAGAACGAACGCUGGCGGCAUGCCUAACACAUGCAAGUCGAACGAAGGCUUCGGCCUUAGUGGCGCACGGGUGCGUAACGCGUGGGAAUCUGCCCUUUGCUUCGGAAUAACAGUGGGAAACUACUGCUAAUACCGGAUGAUGUCUUCGGACCAAAGAUUUAUUCGGCAAGGGAUGAGCCCGCGUAGGAUUAGGUAGUUGGUGGGGUAAAGGCCUACCAAGCCGACGAUCCUUAGCUGGUCUGAGAGGAUGAUCAGCCACACUGGGACUGAGACACGGCCCAGACUCCUACGGGAGGCAGCAGUGGGGAAUAUUGGACAAUGGGGGGAACCCUGAUCCAGCAAUGCCGCGUGAGUGAUGAAGGCCUUAGGGUUGUAAAGCUCUUUUUACCAGGGAUGAUAAUGACAGUACCUGGAGAAUAAGCUCCGGCUAACUCCGUGCCAGCCGCCGCCGU
rnacentral:rRNA from 1 species